AUUGAACGCUGGCGGAAUGCUUUACACAUGCAAGUCGAGCGGCAGCGCGGGGGCAACCCUGGCGGCGAGCGGCGAACGGGUGAGUAAUACAUCGGAACGUGUCCUUAAGUGGGGGAGUAGCUCGGCGAAAGCCGGAGUUAAUACCGCAUAAGCUCUGAGGAGGAAAGCGGGGGCUCCGUAAGGACCUCGCGCUGUUGGAGCGGCCGAUGUCGGAUUAGCUAGUUGGUGGGGUAAAGGCCCACCAAGGCGACGAUCCGUAGCUGGUCUGAGAGGAUGGAUCAGCCACACUGGAACUGAGACACGGUCCAG
rnacentral:rRNA from 1 species